AAAAAAAAACCAUAUCAAAAUGCAUUCAGCUAUAAUUUCGCCAUUAUCUUCAUAUUUUUCUUAAUCUAAUUAGGAUAUUUGAAUUAAGACAACAUUGUUGUACAUAGGGUAAACGUUUAUUUUCAGUUAGGGAAUCAUGAAUACAUUGGACAAUUAAAACAAUCUUGAUACUGUACGUGUAAGUCUUUUUGUUUAUAAGAAACAAACCGAUCAAAAACCAGAUACAGCCCAAUGCCAUUAAUGGACUGUUUUAUGCUUU
rnacentral:lncRNA from 1 species